rnacentral:rRNA from 1 species
AUUGAACGCUGGCGGCAUGCCUUACACAUGCAAGUCGAACGGCAGCACGGGGGCAACCCUGGUGGCGAGUGGCGAACGGGUGAAUAAUACAUCGGAACGUGCCCCGUAGCGGGGGAUAACCAGUCGAAAGACUGGCUAAUACCGCAUACGCUCCACGGAGGAAAGCAGGGGACCCGCAAGGGCCUUGCACUAUGGGAGCGGCCGAUGCCCGAUUAGCUAGUUGGUGAGGUAAAGGCUCACCAAGGCUACGAUCGGUAGCUGGUCUGAGAGGACGAGCAGCCACACUGGGACUGAGACACGGCCCAGACUCCUACGGGAGGCAGCAGUGGGGAAUUUUGGACAAUGGGCGCAAGCCUGAUCCAGCCAUGCCGCGUGCGGGAAGAAGGCCUUCGGGUUGUAAACCGCUCUUGGCAGGAACGGAACGGCGCGAGCUAAUACCUCGCGCUAAUGAUGGUACCUGCAGAAUAAGCACCGGCUAACUACGUGCCAGCCGCCGCCGUAAUAC